AUACGGAGGGAGCAAGCGUUACUCGGAAUCACUGGGCGUAAAGCGCGCGCAGGCGGCUUGAUAAGUUGGAUGUGAAAGCCUACGGCUCAACCGUAGAACUGCAUCCAAAACUGUCAGGCUAGAGUCUGGGAGGGGAAGAUGGAAUUAGUUGUGUAGGGGUAAAAUCCGUAGAGAUAACUAGGAAUACCAAAAGCGAAGGCGAUCUUCUGGAACAGUACUGACGCUGAGGCGCGAAAGCGUGGGGAGCAAACAGGAUUAGAAACCCGAGUAGUCC
rnacentral:rRNA from 1 species